rnacentral:rRNA from 1 species
AGAGUUUGAUCAUGGCUCAGGACGAACGCUGGCGGCGUGCCUAAUACAUGCAAGUCGAGCGGACGAAUCGAAAGCUUGCUUUUGAUUCGUUAGCGGCGGACGGGUGAGUAACACGUGGGCAACCUGCCCUGUAGACGGGGAUAACACCGAGAAAUCGGUGCUAAUACCGGACAACACGAAAUGUCGCAUGACGUUUCGUUGAAAGACGGCGCAAGCUGUCGCUACAGGAUGGGCCCGCGGCGCAUUAGCUAGUUGGUGAGGUAACGGCUCACCAAGGCGACGAUGCGUAGCCGACCUGAGAGGGUGAUCGGCCACACUGGGACUGAGACACGGCCCAGACUCCUACGGGAGGCAGCAGUAGGGAAUCUUCCGCAAUGGACGAAAGUCUGACGGAGCAACGCCGCGUGAGCGAAGAAGGCCUUCGGGUCGUAAAGCUCUGUUGUUAGGGAAGAACAAGUAACGCAGUAACUGGCGUUACCGUGACGGUACCUAACGAGAAAGCCACGGCUAACUACGUGCCAGCAGCCGCGGUAAUACGUAGGUGGCAAGCGUUGUCCGGAAUUAUUGGGCGUAAAGCGCGCGCAGGCGGUUCCUUAAGUCUGAUGUGAAAGCCCACGGCUCAACCGUGGAGGGUCAUUGGAAACUGGGGGACUUGAGUGCAGAAGAGGAGAGCGGAAUUCCACGUGUAGCGGUGAGAUGCGUAGAGAUGUGGAGGAACACCAGUGGCGAAGGCUGCUCUCUGGUCUGUAACUGACGCUGAGGCGCGAAAGCGUGGGGAGCAAACAGGAUUAGAUACCCUG